AACGAACGCUGGCGGCAUGCCUAACACAUGCAAGUCGAACGAGACCUUCGGGUCUAGUGGCGCACGGGUGCGUCACGCGUGGGAACCUGCCCUUAGGUUCGGCAUAACUCCCCGAAAGGGGUGCUAAUACCGGAUAAUGUCUUCGGACCAAAGAUUUAUCGCCUUUGGAUGGGCCCGCGUUGGAUUAGCUCGUUGGUAGGGUAAAAGCCUACCAAGGCGACGAUCCAUAGCUGGUCUGAGAGGAUGAUCAGCCACACUGGGACUGAGACACGGCCCAGACUCCUACGGGAGGCAGCAGUGGGGAAUAGUGGACAAUGGGCGAAAGCAUGAUCCAGCAAUGCCGCGUGAGUGAUGAAGGCCUUAGGGUUGUAAAGCUCUUUUACCCGGGAUGAUAAUGACAGUACCGGGAGAAUAAGCUCCGGCUAACUCCGUG
rnacentral:rRNA from 1 species